UGGGGAAUAUUGCACAAUGGGCGCAAGCCUGAUGCAGCCAUGCCGCGUGUAUGAAGAAGGCCUUCGGGUUGUAAAGUACUUUCAGCGGGGAGGAAGGGAGUAAAGUUAAUACCUUUGCUCAUUGACGUUACCCGCAGAAGAAGCACCGGCUAACUCCGUGCCCGCAGCCGCGGUAAUACGGAGGGUGCAAGCGUUAAUCGGAAUUACUGGGCGUAAAGCGCACGCAGGCGGUUUGUUAAGUCAGAUGUGAAAUCCUCGGGCUCAACCUGGGAACUGCAUCUGAUACUGGCAAGCUUGAGUCUCGUAGAGGGGGGUAGAAUUCCAGGUGUAGCGGUGAAAUGCGUAGAGAUCUGGAGGAAUACCGGUGGCGAAGGCGGCCCCCUGGACGAAGACUGACGCUCAGGUGCGAAAGCGUGGGGAGCAAACAGG
rnacentral:rRNA from 1 species